UACGUAGGUGGCGAGCGUUGUCCGGAAUUACUGGGCGUAAAGGGCGCGUAGGCGGUCUUCUAAGUCUUGUGUGAAAUCCCUCGGCUUAACUGAGGAACUGCACGGGAUACUGGAUGACUUGAGUUCGGGAGAGGGAAGCGGAAUUCCGGGUGUAGCGGUGAAAUGCGUAGAUAUCCGGAGGAACACCGGUGGCGAAGGCGGCUUCCUGGACCGACACUGACGCUGAGGCGCGAAAGCUAGGGGAGCAAACGGG
rnacentral:rRNA from 1 species